AUUGAACGCUGGCGGCAGGCUUAACACAUGCAAGUCGAGCGGGGUGAUGGUGCUUGCACUAUCACUUAGCGGCGGACGGGUGAGUAAUGCUUAGGAAUCUGCCUAUUAGUGGGGGACAACAUCUCGAAAGGGAUGCUAAUACCGCAUACGUCCUACGGGAGAAAGCAGGGGAUCACUUGUGACCUUGAGCUAAUAGAUGAGCCUAAGGCGGAUUAGCUAGUUGGUGGGGUAAAGGCCUACCAAGGCGACGAUCUGUGGCGGGUCUGAGAGGAUGAUCCGCCACACUGGGACUGAGACACGGCCCAGACUCCUACGGGAGGCAGCAGUGGGGAAUAUUGGACAAUGGGGGGAACCCUGAUCCAGCCAUGCCGCGUGUGUGAAGAAGGCCUUAUGGUUGUAAAGCACUUUAAGCGAGGAGGAGGCUCUUUUGGUUAAUACCCAAGAUGAGUGGACGUUACUCGCAGAAUAAGCACCGGCUAACUCUGUGCCAGCCGCCGCUGUAA
rnacentral:rRNA from 1 species